GGGGCCGUAGCUCAGCAGGAUAGAGCAAGUGAUUCCUAAUCACUAGGUCGGACGUUCGAAUCGUCUCGGUCCCACCA
rnacentral:tRNA from 1 species